GACGAACGCUGGCGGCGUGCCUAAUACAUGCAAGUUGAGCGAUGAAGAUUGGUGCUUGCACCAAUUUGAAGAGCAGCGAACGGGUGAGUAACGCGUGGGGAAUCUGCCUUUGAGCGGGGGACAACAUUUGGAAACGAAUGUUAAUACCGCAUAACAACUUUAAACAUAAGUUUUAAGUUUGAAAGAUGCAAUUGCAUCACUCAAAGAUGAUCCCGCGUUGUAUUAGCUAGUUGGUGAGGUAAAGGCUCACCAAGGCGAUGAUACAUAGCCGACCUGAGAGGGUGAUCGGCCACAUUGGGACUGAGACACGGCCCAAACUCCUACGGGAGGCAGCAGUAGGGAAUCUUCGGCAAUGGACGAAAGUCUGACCGAGCAACGCCGCGUGAGCGAAGAAGGUUUUCGGAUCGUAAAACUCUGUUGGUAGAGAAGAACGUUGGUGAGAGUGGAAAGCUCAUCAAGUGACGGUAACUACCCAGAAAGGGACGGCUAACUACGUG
rnacentral:rRNA from 1 species